CUUUCGCAGCAGAAAAACAACAAUGUAAGCAGUAUUGAGGAUAAGUCAUCCAAAGCAAAUGAAGAAGGUAAUCAGCUCCAGCAGGGAAGGGACUCUAUCAUUCAACAAUACCAGCUUUGUUCCUUUGAGACUAGAGGAGGCUUUUUAAAAAGAAGGCCUCUCUGGACCUCCAGAGCAGAGAAGAAAAUAACUUUGAAAAUGCUGCUGAUAUUUCUUUUUGCUACCUUCCUGGCCUUAGCAAAUUCUGCUCAGAAAACUCAGCAUGUGGACAAUGGUUCACCAGCUGAUCAAAAAGAACCCGAAACAGACUGGGGAACCGUUGGUUCAUGUCCUAAAGUGGAAAUGCAGCAAGGUUCCAGUAAGACGAAAACUUCAAAGAGUUCGGAUUGCAAAAACACCUGUAAAGCAGAUUCUGAAUGCAACAUGUCUAUGAAAUGCUGCAGCACUGGGUAUGGAUGCAAAACAUGUCAGUUUCCUUUGAUGAUUGAUCCACCUAAACAUGAAAAAACAAGUAAGCGCAAAUACUGAAUGAAGAUAUAGUUCCAGAAAGGAGCCAUCAGAUUUCUUUCCAGACACCUCUAUUUGCUAAAUUUCUGUUGUCAUCAAUAUUAAUCAAUGAAAAACUUCAUAUUAUUAAACUAGCAUCUAUCAGCAAUUCCUGUUUC
rnacentral:lncRNA from 1 species